rnacentral:lncRNA from 1 species
AUGAGAGCCACGCAGCAAUUGACACUCCCCCACCAAAGGUACCUGCGAAAACUCCUCUGCAAAAUUGGAAAUGACGGUUGCGGAAUAGGACCAACUCAAAGGGCUUUUCUGAUAGAAAAAUUUAAAUUACUCUCAGAGGAAGAUAAAGUUGUAAAUUUACAACUUGAUGAAAUUUACACAAACUCAAAGCUUGUUUAUAAAGCUGGAAAAGUUUACGGUAUUGCUGAAUAUGGUGCCAACACCUCCUCUGAUCUCACCGCUGGAACCAUCCAGGCUUUUAUGUCAUCAUCCUUACAGUCCAAAAAUAAGGAUGUCGUUGCUCUUUUUCCAGUACGAAACUUGGAUGCAGAAAUUUUGUUGGAGCUAAUACGGGCCGUUUUAAAGUUGAUGGUCGAAGUAGGAUUCUUCGUUCUAUGUGCCAUUGCUGACAACAACCAAGUCAACAAGAAAAUGUUUGACCUCUUGUGUGAUGGUGUUAUGAAGACUCAGAUACCAAAUCCAUACGAUCCGAGUAGACCUCUGUUUCUCCUGUUUGACCAGGUUCAUUUGUUGAAAAACAUACGUAAUAAUUGGCUGAAUGCUCCAAAUCAAACUUUAAAAAUACCCAACUGUACGCAAGUGCCACUUUUCGAAAAGCCUCUUCACACUUCAAACCCACUUGAAUUUGAUAAGACUAAUUGUGAUGUAUCAGACCGGCCAGUGCCUAAUGAGGUAACAUUUGUUGAGGCAAAAUUUUCAGAUGUCAAAGACCUAUACCAUGCUGAGGCCAAAUCAGUCUUGAAACUUGGCUCAAAGUUAACAAGAAAAGCUGUUUAUCCGUCUUCAGUGGAAAGACAGAACGUUUCACUGGUUAAUGCUGUCUUCAGUGACUCGACAAGGGUAGCAUUACAAACUUUGAAGAAGGACAAAGUGGCAGUGUCAGACGGAACAAUCAUGUUCAUACAAAUCUUUGGUAGAUGGUGGAAAAUCUCCAAUGUUAAAGUUGAAACCAAAGGCAAAAGAUUGAACGAUAUGUGGUGUGAGCCUGUAAGAGAUUGCAAUGACAUGAAGCUUAAAUUUUUAAGAGAUUUGUUGCUUUACGGUGAAAUUUGGGACCUUGCCAGUAGUCCCAAUAAACUUUCAGCUCAGACUCAUGCUGCCUUUUUUCACACCGUGAAGGCUACAAUUGAAUUGUGUGUGUAUGUCCUUACAGAUUUGGGCUGGGAAUUAGUCUUGCUAGGCAAACUCCAAACAGACAAUAUAGAAGGAAGGUUCGGUGGUUACCGACGAAUCUCUGGUUGUAGCUAUUUUGUCACUGUCGAACAAGUUCUGGAGGCAGAAAGAAAGUUGAAAUUACUCAGUAUAUUGAAGCUUAAGUCUUCCAAAAAUGGAGAGUUUUCACUGACCUCAUUUGCCGAAGAAUGCAAGGAAACAGCUACCAAACUUGGUGAAAAAGCCGAAGAUGUGGACAUUUUUGAAGGAGCUUUCAGCGAAAUGAGUUCAAUCACUGUCACCCUGACUGAUCGGAGAGUACUCCUUUGUUUGGCCAGCUAUGCUGCCACUAAGACCUUACAACAAUUGAGGCGCGAAGAAAUGCAAAUUUGCCAAGAGUGUAAAGAGACCUUACUAUCGAAGGAACCUUUGGAAAUCGAGCGAGCCAAAGAGACUUAUGAGUAUCUCAGUGGUUUGGAUCGUGGAGGUUUAAACCGACCCUCUGACUUCGCAUUUCAUCUUUGUAUGGAUGCAUUCAAACUGUUCCAAUCACUAAUUUCUCAGAAGUACGAAGAAAAUUUUUUGAAACUGCAUGACCAACGAAAAGCCUUCACCACGCUUGGAGUGAAAUUGUGCGAGCAAUCUCUGGACGAUACGCUUUUCUCAUGCGAGACUGACUCCUGCAAUUUAACUUUAAAGAAGGUUGUCAAGAAAUUUAUGACAACCCUUGCGAAUAUCUUCUUAAAUAAUUAUACCAAGACACUGAAUGAUAUGAAUAUGACCCGCCAAAUAGCUAUAAAACUAAGCAAGCAAGAAGCCAAGCAAGAAGCCAAAAAAAAAGCAGAGGAGGCAAAGAAAGAGGCAGAAAAAGCAAAACAGAAAGAACAGAGUGCUUCGCAGAAAGCAGAAGUCGCAAAUCAAGAGGUACAGGAACCAAUGAAGGCAUCCGAAAGUAAGAGUAAGUACUCUAAGGCAAAAGUAAAGGACGUUAAUGCCAGAAAAAUUGCCAAAUUGAGCUCCAAGGGCUCUUUGUAG